rnacentral:lncRNA from 1 species
CUGAGAUAAGAUAUUGUGUUUGGUAGGUUACUGUGUUUGCUCCUCCUCAUCCAACUUUGAAUCGCAUAGAGGUUAAAUUAUCACUAUGCUUCUCUUCUCAACAUCGUUUUGCCUUCCGGUAUUUGCAAAAACAUCUAAACAGUGUGCCUGACAAAUUAUUUAGGUGCCAGAUUGACGAACAAACACAAACAAUUACAGGUAUGUUUGAUUACUAUUUAGUUUUUUAUUUUUAUUUUUUGUGUUAGUGACAUGGGAAAAAUAAUUGGAAAAAAAAAAGAGGGAUGAAGAAGAGUGAAUGAAGGAUACCUUCACGCUGUAAUCAACAUUUGUAACAUUUACUGAAUACAGGUAAGAUAUGUAUUGGA